GCCAGUUUUGACGUUUGUGUUUGC
rnacentral:siRNA from 1 species